rnacentral:rRNA from 1 species
AUGGUGAUCUCGGUCCCCAGCCACCGGCGCUCCAUGCGCGACGCAAUGCUCGGCGGGGGCCGCCAGCUCCACAAGCCCCUUCGCUGCGCCUUCUACGACGGGAUUCCCGGCGAAGGCCUCGCCGCCGCGCUCGCCGAGGCCACUGGGAGCGUUUCCCUCUCCCGCACCCCCGCCACCGACGGCAGCGUAAGUGGGAAGGCAGUGAGGAACGUGCUCAUCCUCAUGAGCGACACCGGCGGCGGCCACCGCGCCUCCGCCGAGGCUCUCCGCGACGCCUUCCGCCUCGAUUUCGGCGACGCCUACCAGGUGUUCGUCAGGGAUUUGGGGAAAGAGUACGGCGGCUGGCCGCUGAACGACAUGGAGCGGUCGUACAAGUUCAUGAUCCGCCAUGUCCGGCUCUGGAAGGUGGCCUUCCAUGGCACCUCCCCGCGCUGGGUUCACGGAAUGUACCUCACCGCCCUCGCCUACCUCUACGCCAACGAGGUGGUGGCCGGGAUGAUGAAGUACAAGCCGGACGUGAUCAUCAGCGUGCACCCACUCAUGCAGCACAUCCCGCUGUGGGUGCUCAAGUGGCAGAGCCUGCAGCCCAAGGUCCCGUUCUUCACCGUCAUCACCGACCUCAACACCUGCCACCCGACAUGGUUCCACCACGGCGUGACGAGGUGCUACUGCCCCUCGGCCGAGGUGGUGAAGAGGGCCCUGACCCGCGGGCUCGACCCGUCACAAAUCCGCGUGUACGGGCUGCCGAUCAGGCCAUCCUUCUGCCGCGCCGUGCUCGACAAGGAUGGGCUGAGGAAAGAACUUGGCCUGCACCCUGAACUGCCUGCUGUUCUACUGAUGGGAGGCGGUGAAGGGAUGGGCCCGGUGGAGGAGACGGCCAAGGCCCUCGGCCACGAGCUCUACGAUCACCGGAGACGCCGGCCGGUCGGGCAGGUCGUGGUCAUAUGCGGCAGGAAUCAGGCGCUGCGGUCCACCUUGCUGUCCCUGCCAUGGAAGGUCCCUGUCAAGAUUAGAGGGUUCGAGAAGCAGAUGGAGAAGUGGAUGGGCGCUUGCGACUGCAUCAUCACUAAGGCUGGCCCUGGCACAAUUGCAGAAGCCUUGAUAAGAGGACUUCCAAUUAUUCUCAACGAUUUCAUACCCGGACAGGAAGUAGGGAAUGUGCCUUACGUGGUCGACAACGGCGCCGGUGUGUUCUGUAAGGACGCAGGUGAAGCUGCAAGACAAGUUGCCCGAUGGUUUACCACAGAAACUGACGAGCUCAGGAGGUACUCCCGCAAUGCGCUGAAGCUAGCGCAGCCCGAAGCAGUGUUCGACAUCGUGAGGGACAUCCACAAGCUCCAGCCGCAGCCUGCCGCUCUAACCCGGAUCCCCUACUCCUUGACCUCAUCGUUCUCAUACCAUAUAUGA